AGUGAACGCUGGCGGCAGGCCUAACACAUGCAAGUCGAACGGUAACACGAAACAACUUUCUGCUUCGCUGAGGAGUGUGGGACGGGGGAGUAAUGUCCGGGGAGCUGCCUUUUGUAGGGGGAUAACUAGUGGAAACGGUAGCUAAUACCGCACAAUGGCCCUAGGCCAAAGAGGGGGAGCUCUUCGCCCCUUGCCCUCUGGAGUGCGCAGAUGGGGGUUGCUUGUUGGGGGGGUAACGGCUCACCAAGGGGACGAUCCCUAGCUGUGCUGAGAGGAUGACCAGCCAAACUGGAACUGAAAAACGGCCCAGACUCCAACGGGGGGAAGCAGUGGGAAAAUUUGAACAAGGGGGGAAAGCCUGAUGCAGCCAUGCCGGGUGGAUGAAGAAGGCCUUCGGGUUGUAAAGUACUUUCAGCGGGAAGAAAGGGAGUAAAGUUAAUACCUUUGCUCAUUGACGUAACCAGAAGAAGAAACACGGGCUAACUCCGU
rnacentral:rRNA from 1 species